AUACGUAAAGCCUUUUUGUUUAGCAAACAUGAAAAUUUGAUCAUCGCUGGAAGUCAUGGAUGAAGACUAUAUAUGUUUUUCUGGUGUCAUGCAGCAUAUUAUCAAAUAGAAGUAAGGGAAUUAUAUUUAUACCCAUCUCCUUGCUUGUCUUACAUGCUACAUCUUAUUUUUUUAUAUACAAUAUUUUAUUUUGUGAUAUCUUACUCAUAUAUUAAAUUAAACUAAGUAAUAUUUUUUUAUGAUUAAAAUUCAUUUACUUUCUUCAAUCUGUGUUGUAUUAUUAAUGGCUUGAAUUGAAU
rnacentral:lncRNA from 1 species